rnacentral:rRNA from 1 species
CGCGAACGGGUGAGUAACGCGUAGGUAACCUACCUUUUAGCGGGGGAUAACUAUUGGAAACGAUAGCUAAUACCGCAUAAUAUUCUAUAUUUCAUGAUAGAGGAUUGAAAGAUGCAACUGCAUCACUAAGAGAUGGACCUGCGUUGUAUUAGCUAGUUGGUGAGGUAACGGCUCACCAAGGCAACGAUACAUAGCCGACCUGAGAGGGUGAUCGGCCACACUGGGACUGAGACACGGCCCAGACUCCUACGGGAGGCAGCAGUAGGGAAUCUUCGGCAAUGGGGGGAACCCUGACCGAGCAACGCCGCGUGAGUGAAGAAGGUUUUCGGAUCGUAAAGCUCUGUUGUAAGAGAAGAACGAGUGUGAGAGUGGAAAGUUCACACUGUGACGGUAUCUUACCAGAAAGCCACGGCUAACUACGUGCCAGCAGCCGCGGUAAUACGUAGGUGGCAAGCGUUGUCCGGAAUUAUUGGGCGUAAAGCGCGCGCAGGUGGUUUAAUAAGUCUGAUGUGAAAGCCCACGGCUCAACCGUGGAAGGUCAUUGGAAACUGUUAAACUUGAGUGCAGGAGAGAAAAGUGGAAUUCCUAGUGUAGCGGUGAAAUGCGUAGAGAUUAGGAGGAACACCAGUGGCGAAGGCGGCUUUUUGGCCUGUAACUGACACUGAGGCGCGAAAGCGUGGGGAGCAAACAGGAUUAGAUACCCUGGUAGUCCACGCCGUAAACGAUGAGUGCUAAGUGUUGGAUU